UACAGAGGUCUCGAGCGUUGUUCGGAUUCAUUGGGCGUAAAGGGUGCGUAGGCGGCGUGGUAAGUCCGGUGUGAAAUCCUGGAGCUUAACUCCAGAAAUGCACUGGAUACUGCCAUGCUAGAGGACUGGAGAGGAGAUUGGAAUUCACGGUGUAGCAGUGAAAUGCGUAGAUAUCGUGAGGAAGACCAGUGGCGAAAGCGAAUCUCUGGACAGUUCCUGACGCUGAUGCACGAAGGCUAGGGGAGCAAACGGG
rnacentral:rRNA from 1 species